CUAGAUGAGAGGGGAUCUCAUCGCGGGGUGGGGGGACUGGCACAAAAUGUCACAAGAAAACAGCACCAUCACAGAGAACAUAUGGACACCACUACAGCAUCUGCACAGGGUCUAUUCCAACUGAGAGCGAAAACUGGAUUAAAUUUACUUUGGGACCUUUGACUUGUUUUUGAUCAUGCCGGAUUUAUCAUGGAAACAGUCUUGGCAUAACCCGCAGGAUCAGAUGACACAGGCGGACUCCUCUCUGGCCGCAGCAUUGUGUAACACCAGCCAGUGCUGUGUUUAUCGUCCUGGACUGUUGGGGGAGGCGUCCUGUCCUGUACUGGAUCGGCACAAACAGCCAAGAGAAAGAAUGCCGUGUGCUUUCAUGAAUAUUAAGAUAGGAAUGAUAAUUUGGGCCAAAUUCAAAUAGACUAAAAGACAUAAAAAUGCAACAGCAGCAGGGUGUGUCUCUCUCUCACCAGACCCCUCUGUGAAUAAGAGUCCAGGCAAAGUGUUUUAUGGUCAGUGGAGGUGUAGAGGGAUUAGUGUUCAAGAUUGACAGUAAGGGUGUUGGGCUGAGAAGUGCUUAGAGUGUAAAUCAGAUGUUUGAAACUGACAGGGGGGUAAAAUGAAGAAUAAAAGGGUGUCACAGAGAAAUUGGUGGUGAGAGAAAAGGCUGAUCCACAGAUGAGAGAUGCCCAAAUGUUUAGUCAAACCUAUAGAAACUUCUGCUGUAGUUUCACAUACUUGAUGGUAUGGUAGCUUCGGAAAUCAGGGAAAAUGCAAAAGAAGGCUGCACAGAAACUGAACUAGAAAACAAUGUUAUUCCAGACAUGCAGGUUCACAGAUUUCCUAUUAUUUCUUAAAAAUUGUACUGAGAGGUGGAAAGUGGCACCCCUUACGAGUGUUCAGAUUUUAAAAAAGCACAAAGAGCCACCCACUUGCAGAAGCAUGUCUGUGACAUAUGAAUAUGUUGUUGUGUUUACUACAGUACAGAAGAUUUUAUUCUCUACUCUUGAGCCACGCCCCGGAAGAGCUCAAACCUCAGCCAAGAUGCACCAAAUCACCAUCCUCACUCCUUUCACUCCUUGUUACUUUUGUUUACAGGAAGCAGCUGAAGGCAUAACACCUUACAUCAGACCCAUCAAGUCUCACUCAUCUUAUCUAUGUUUUCUUAGGUUCACCGUGUCCACAGCAACACUGUUCCUCCAGUCACAGACGACGGCAUGAGAGCUCUUAGCCAGACUAAAGCAACAAAACAGUACAUUUUUAAACAUUACAGUACAUCAUGUGGCCUGUAAACAAUUUUGAUCAAUUUGUUGAUCUUCCAACAUUUUGUCAAAUUAAGAUCAGAUAAACAAAGUUAAACUGGAGUUGACAUGAAAAUUCCCACUGACUGCAGAAAGCCCCAGCCCUGCCAUGUUAAGAUAAAACCUGUUGCUAGUGGCAACAGCACAGAGAUACAGUAGAUCACGAUGACACGGCUGUCUCUGUGGACAUGAUAAAUAUCACCAAGUCUCCUCAAAGCCAUUAAGAUAAAGUUCCUUUGGAUUUUCUGAUGCUGUCAGGUAAAAAACAUUGCAGCUAAAAUCAUGGUUAUUUUUAUGUAUUACCCUUAGUCUGAAGGCUGAUACCGAUACCGGCUGAUACUGAUGAAGCCACUGCGGGAGGAGAACAUCUAAUUUGGCUAAACAAAAAAAUCACAAGUAUUCUUCUUAGUCACAUUUUGAAGUUGCAACUUUUUAACCUGACCGCGGCAGUCUCUUCUAUUAUUUUUCUCUUCCAUUAUUAUUCUUAAUUUCAAGUCUUGGUUUCAGUUUAUCAUGAGACGACUUCAUUGCCUUUGAGUUCCCUUUUGUGGUGCAAAUGUUUGGUCAGGUUUUCCUUUAUUAUACACAAAUGUCUAUUACUGUACAUAUGUGUUUCUAAUUAAAAUGGGUACAUUCUGUCAAGUAUGACACUGUAAACAAGGCACUGAAACAUUGAGCAGACAUUAGACAAGUUCCUGUGCCUGGUACUGGUGACCCACAUUAUGCCAGAUCACGUAAAUACACUUUUAAAAAAGGACUGUGAUGCCAGUUUGUCUUUGUAAUGACCCCCAGUAACAGACAUUGUUUACGGAACAUGUGACAACAAGUGAACCUGAACAGAAACAGCCCCCUUCUCUGAAUUCCCACAGAAAGACAUAACUUCAUCAACUGAGUUGUUGGGAAUUGAAAGUAAUCUCUGUGUGUGCAGAUUGUAUUUUAAACGUGUAUGAUGUGUGACAGUGUGACAGUGAGGGAAAAGAGGUCAGACUUUAUAUAUUACACACAUGUAUUAGGGGAAAACAAAGGCUUGGCCUGGUGUACUAAUCUAGCACUAACGUCAGCUAAGCUACUGUAGCCAGGCAGCAGUUCAAGCUGUGGAAGUAGCUGUGUCUCAGCAGCACGACAGAGCUUGGAUCCUGGAUCCUGCACCAACAUGGCGCCCAGCCUGCUUCAGUGCACAGCCAGAAGCCCACUGCUGAUUCAGGAUCUCUCUCCAAUGAGACUGUACAAACACGCAACAACCUUUGACUACUUGAAUCAACUCUGACCAGAAUAGCAUCAAGAAGAAAAACAUAACAAGGUCAGAAACAUCAUUAAUGAGGAGAUGCAGAUCUGACAGCGACACAGACAUGCCUGGAAGAAGUUGCCCUCCAACUGAACCUAAUCAAUGUCAUGUUGUUCAUUAGAAAAUGGAAAGAAACUGUGUAGUAAGCAUUACUGAUGGAAAGCUGUUUGAGAUAUAUUUCUGUCUUGUCCUGUGUGUUUGUCAUUAAAAUGCUUAAAUGAUUAAAUUGGUCUUAGCACGGUCAGGCCAAACUGAAAACAACAGUCUUUUUGUGCCCUCGCUAAUCUUUCUGUGUUGUAAGUCCAUUGUGAGAACUUUUCUUUCUUUGCAGACAUGUCUGUGUGUGUUUUGCUUCACUGUACGUGUCACUAAAAUGCAGACAGGACCUUGCACAAAAAGGUACUGGAAUAAAAACGCUUGAUUGUGUGUCUA